rnacentral:rRNA from 1 species
AGCGAACGCUGGCGGCAGGCCUAAUACAUGCAAGUCGAACGGCUCUUCGGAGCAGUGGCGGACGGGUGAGUAACGCGUGGGAAUGUGCCCUUUGGUACGGAACAACACAGGGAAACUUGUGCUAAUACCGUAUGUGCCCUUCGGGGGAAAGAUUUAUCGCCAUUGGAGCAGCCCGCGUUGGAUUAGGUAGUUGGUGCGGUAAAGGCUCACCAAGCCUACGAUCCAUAGCUGGUCUGAGAGGAUGACCAGCCACACUGGGACUGAGACACCGCCCAGACUCCUACGGGAGGCAGCAGUAGGGAAUCUUGCGCAAUGGGCGAAAGCCUGACGCAGCCAUGCCGCGUGUAUGAUGAAGGUCUUAGGAUUGUAAAAUACUUUCACCGGGGAAGAUAAUGACGGUACCCGGAGAAGAAGCCCCGGCUAACUUCGUGCCAGCCGCCGCCGUAAUAC